rnacentral:tRNA from 1 species
GGUGAGUUGGCUCAGUGGAUAGAGCGUAGGUAUCUUAGCCGAAAGGUCGCGGGAUCGAAUCCCGCUAGAGGCUG